GCGAUGUUGGGGCUGCCCUCGCAUGGCUGAAGUCUCAUAUCCGCAUGCUCCCUGACUUUGUCGGAGGUGCUGUUGAUUUUGGGGCUUUGGCCGCGGUUAGCUCCUUCGCUAGGCUUUUACGCCGUGGAGGUUGCUCUCACGCGGAGGGAGUCGCCAAGGAGGAAUUUGCUGCGGCGGAGGACGUUGGCGAAGGCACACCUAGCCUGCGCAAAUCUGUCCGGAACUUUAUCAGUUCGUUCUGGAUUAGGUUUGGGCGGGCUGAGGCGAAGAAAAUGGCGGAGGAUCGUCGAGCUGAGGUUUGUACUAUUUGGUUAUUCCUUUGCGUUUUUUUUUGUUACUUUUCAACGCUACUUAAGAUUACUGGCUUGUAGGAAAUUGCGAAGAAGAAGACUAAGGUUGAUAAGGCCGGUCCUUCGCGUCCCCCUGGCGGGGUGCGUCCUUCGGCUCAGGCUGAGGCGGAGGUUCGUGACGCAGGUGUUGAAACUGCGGAGGAACCCGGUGCCAGGGCUUCAGAGCAACCCGAAGCUCCUGCUCCUCCUCCGCCUCAGGUGUGAGGUUUUUUUAGCUUGUAGGUUUUUUAGUUUUCGCGUCUGCUGCACAUGCGACGCUUUUUUUUUUGUAAGGAAAGUCGGAGGUCUUGACUUCAACUGUAAAUACUUUGGUGGUAAUGUAAUAUAUCGGGUUGUUUUUGGAUGAAUGUCUGUUUUACAAUUUUAUCCUGCGCAGGUCUCUAGCGGAGGACCUGCGCAGGAUUCUUGCGAGGCUCCGCUUUCAAUUUUUUACAAAGGAAUUUAUGUUUCUGGUGAGUUGUGGGAUUAUUGGCGGAUUGCUUUCCCUAACAUGAGAUUGGUGGAUAUGUUCGAAUUUGUUGGAUAUGAUAUUGAUGGCGAAGGAUCUGAAUUUAUCCGGUCGCUUGCGCGCCGAGGUUCAUGGCCUCCGGCUUAGGUGGUGGUUUUUGUUUUGGUUCUACUUUGUCGUAGGCUAUUUGUGUUUUUCUUUUUUAUGACUUGGUUUGAUGUGUUUAUGCAGUUGAAGUAUCCUAUCCUUCGCAUAUUUGGGGAGGAGAUUGAGGAAUCUUUUUGGCUGGAGGGUCCUGACGUGUGUGAGCGUUAUUUGCCUGGACGUGCGGAGGUUUGAGACUUUGGUUUUUUGACAAGUUUGUGUCCUUCGCUUGAUUCAGUGAUUUCUGAGUUGGUUUUUCUGCGUAGGUUGUUCGUUCCCCUCCUGGAUGUGAAGUUCUUUCUCCGAGUUUUGUCGAAGGAAGCUAUGUGACUCCAUUGACGUUCAAGCGUGGCGACUUAUAUGCAAGUGGUUGGUUAAUAGACUGGUGGAGAGCUGCGCGUCCUUCGCUUAAUGUUGAUGAUUUGGUUGACUAUCUGGCACGGGAUUAUUGUAGUGAUUUUAGGGUUUUUGGUGACUCGUGCGUGAGAUUUGUACGUGACUCGUAGAUCCUUCGGUUGUUUGGUCGACGGAGGAUUUGUAUGUUGGAUUUGUACAAGCUACCUAUAACCUUCGACUUUUUAUGGGUCGGAGGAUAAUUUUAUUCUUUCCUUGUAACUGUUCUUUUGUAAUGAUUUCUUCAUCAAUAAUAAAGUUUUUAAGUUUGCUGCAACCUUCGAUCUCAUUUUUAUUACAACCUUCGCGCUACAGCAUUUAUACAUUGCAACAUAACGGUGGUGUUGAUCCUAAGGAUCUUUGUGUUGCUGUGGCCUGCUUGUGCUUGAUGCUCGAUGUUGCGAAGGUGUUGUUGAUUUUUUCUUGCGCGGAGGAUCGCCGCUUCUUGGCCUUAGAACCUUCGACUUUAUUGGUGCGAAGGAGCCUCCGCUGAACUGUGAUACUU
rnacentral:lncRNA from 1 species